rnacentral:rRNA from 1 species
GGGCCCGCACAAGCGGUGGAGCAUGUGGUUUAAUUCGAUGCAACGCGAAGAACCUUACCAGGUCUUGACAUCCAAAGAAUCUCUCUGAAAGGAGAGAGUGCCUUAGGGAGCUUUGAGACAGGUGGUGCAUGGUUGUCGUCAGCUCGUGUCGUGAGAUGUUGGGUUAAGUCCCGCAACGAGCGCAACCCUUGCUAUUAGUUGCUAACAUGAAAGAUGAGCACUCUAAUGGGACUGCCCGUGACAAGCGGGAGGAAGGUGGGGAUGACGUCAAAUCAUCAUGCCCUUUAUGAUCUGGGCUACACACGUGCUACAAUGGAUGGUACAGAGAGCAGCGAGACAGUGAUGUGGAGCGAAUCUCAAAAAGCCAUUCUCAGUUCGGAUUGUAGUCUGCAACUCGACUACAUGAAGUCGGAAUCGCUAGUAAUCGCGAAUCAGCAUGUCGCGGUGAAUGCGUUCCCGGGCCUU